ACCCUUGUGGAGGAGGACGCCGAAGGUGGGGCUAAUGACUGGGGUGAAGUCGUAACAAGGUAGCCGUACCGGAAGGUGCGGCUGGAUCACCUCCUAACAGGGAGACAACAAAAUGUUUAAUAUUAUUAUUUUGUCACCUUAGGUCGAUCGGUAUCUCACAUUCUUAAUUUAUUAAGGAUUUCAUUUCCUAAGUUUUUCUAGGUCACACCCAUUAUUUUUCCUGGGCCAUUAGCUCAGGUGGUUAGAGCGCACCCCUGAUAAGGGUGAGGUCCCUGGUUCAAGUCCAGGAUGGCCCAUAUCUCUAUGUUGGGGGUAUAGCUCAGUUGGUAGAGCGCCUGCUUUGCAAGCAGGAUGUCAGCGGUUCGAGUCCGCUUACCUCCACUGAUUACCACCUCUUCCAUAAUCUGUAGAAAGGAAAAUUUUUGAGUUGUGAUCAUAAAUCUGAACGAAUCUAGCUUCCUAAUCAAACAUUAAGAUGCUGGACUCAUUGAAUUAAUUUCAUUGUUUUCAGAGAACCUUGACAACUGCAUAGAUUAUUUUUAAAGACAAUAAGCAUCUUUAUGAUGCAGAUUUAUUAUUUGUGCGAAUGCAUUAAUAACAAUUCUAUUAAGCUGAUGCUUCAAUUUUGAAGUUAUUGGUCAAGCUACAAAGGGCUCACGGAGGAUACCUAGGCACACAGAGGCGAUGA
rnacentral:misc_RNA from 1 species